rnacentral:rRNA from 1 species
GGAGGAAAAGAAACCAACAGGGAUUGCCCUAGUAACGGCGAGUGAAGCGGCAACAGCUCAAAUUUGAAAUCUGGCUUCGGCCCGAGUUGUAAUUUGCAGAGGAAGCUUUAGGCGCGGCACCUCCUGAGUCCCCUGGAACGGGGCGCCACAGAGGGUGAGAGCCCCGUAUAGUUGGAUGCCUAGCCUGUGUAAAGCUCCUUCGACGAGUCGAGUAGUUUGGGAAUGCUGCUCAAAAUGGGAGGUAAAUUUCUUCUAAAGCUAAAUACCGGCCAGAGACCGAUAGCGCACAAGUAGAGUGAUCGAAAGAUGAAAAGCACUUUGAAAAGAGGGUUAAAUAGCACGUGAAAUUGUUGAAAGGGAAGCGCUUGUGACCAGACUUGCGCCGGGCUGAUCAUCCGGUGUUCUCACCGGUGCACUCUGCCCGGCUCAGGCCAGCAUCGGUUCUCGCGGGGGGAUAAAGGCCCUGGGAACGUAGCUCCUCCGGGAGUGUUAUAGCCCGGGGCGCAAUGCCCUCGCGGGGACCGAGGUUCGCGCUCUGCAAGGAUGCUGGCGUAAUGGUCAUCAGCGACCCGUCUUGAAACACGGACCAAGGAGUCAAGGUUUUGCGCGAGUGUUUGGGUGUAAAACCCGCACGCGUAAUGAAAGUGAACGUAGGUGAGAGCUUCGGCGCAUCAUCGACCGAUCCUGAUGUUCUCGGAUGGAUUUGAGUAGGAGCGUUAAGCCUUGGACCCGAAAGAUGGUGAACUAUGCUUGGAUAGGGUGAAGCCAGAGGAAACUCUGGUGGAGGCUCGCAGCGGUUCUGACGUGCAAAUCGAUCGUCAAAUCUGAGCAUGGGGGCGAAAGACUAAUCGAACCA